rnacentral:rRNA from 1 species
UACGUAGGGUGCAAGCGUUAAUCGGAAUUACUGGGCGUAAAGCGUGCGCAGGCGGUUUUGUAAGACAGAGGUGAAAUCCCCGGGCUUAACCUGGGAACUGCAUUUGUGACUGCAUGGCUAGAGUGCGGCAGAGGGGGAUGGGAAUUCCGCGUGUAGCAGUGAAAUGCGUAGAUAUGCGGAGGAACACCGAUGGCGAAGGCAAUCCCCUGGGCCUGCACUGACGUCAUGCACGAAAGCGUGGGGAGC